rnacentral:lncRNA from 1 species
CCUGGCACACCGGGCAACUCCAUCUCACGGGUGGCUUCUUUCUUUUUCUGGGACUCAUGGGUGGCUUCGGCUUCUUAACUGGUAUGGUUAUUCCUGUCAGUUCCCACUUCUCCGCAGGCGACGCUUUAUUUGGAGGAACAUUCUGUUUGAUAUGCAGUUAGAUUAGACCAUUAGUAUGUAGUACUUCUGAAAACAAGGAAGGUAGAGUUUCUUCUGAUUUUUCAAUGCAGUUUGAAUACACCAUUAGCAAGUAGAUUUAUGAAAACAUUUCGAGUAAACACAAUGGACAAGCUGCUCACCUCACUGGGAUCCUGCAGUUUCGGUUCAUCAAAUGCUGGGUUAUGUUCACCCGAAUUAACCCUGCAUUUGCACGGGUUCCAGCAUUUUUCCGCGCGAUCUUCUGUGACGGGAUUCCAAAAUCUGGGCUCUGCACUCUUCCUUCCACAGUUGUUUGGUAGCUUCACAUCAUUUUCCUCACCCACGUCGGCGUAGUUUUCCCAGCCGAAGACGGGUCCUCUGUGCGGCGGCAUGCUGUCCCGGGGCAUCGGCGUGCUGUGGUGACCGGACACAGAGCGCAGGGCCAUGGCGCACUCUAUCUUGGCCAGCUCGGCCAUGAUGAUCUCCUGGCGAAGGCGGUCCUUCUGGAGCUGCCACAGCAGGGCGUCCCUCAUAACCAGCAUUGCGUCUCCUGCACCAGCGAUGGGACCAGAUAAGUAGCAGAAUCCUACUCCUAUUGUUCUUGUUUUCUUGAACACGUUUUCUGCAUCUGACUAGAGGAACCGUGAAUCGGAUAAAGUAGGAUCGACAGGUUGCAUUUGUUUUUGACGAGAGGACAGACAAGCUGGGCAGAAUCUUCAAUCUUGUGACCCCCGGGCAAAUCAAACCACACCUAGUCUGUUACCACUUCUACAAGGCGCGGAUCAAGUAGAACAGUCCCAGUACCAUCGUUCGUCUGAUGUCUAGAGGAUUUCGCAUACAGUCGCAGUCAGAGACGGGAGAAAAGGAGGGUAAAGUCCAUCUCUGUUCAGUUGCUUCCUACGGAGUACUAACGCGGCAGAGGUGGCGGGCGGCACAUACCGUGCGGCGGAGGGUCGGGGCAGCGGUGGUCGUCGGUGGCUGGGCCGCGGCGGGCGAACUCCAUCGGGGUGGGUCCCUCCCGGGGAGCAGAGCAGCGACAGGAGCCAGAGGCGGGGGGACUGGUGGGGUGUUUCGGCGAGGAGAGCACGGGGAAGCGCGUGAGAAGGAGGGGCGUUGCAAAGGCAAAAUGUGGGAGACAAAACUUUGAGUGGUCGCGUUUGGGCCCCGUAUAGUAUCGUACUCCGUAUUUAUUAGUCUUCAUAAUAUAAGUUUUGUCCCAAGUUAAAGUAUCUUUAUUUUAAUCAAACUUAUAGAAAAAACUAUAAUACCAAAUCAAUAGUGUUAGAUUCAUUAUGAAAUGUAGUUUCGUAGUGUGUGUGCAUAUAUAUAUAUAUAUANCUUGAUACAAAUCUAAUACGCAGAAUAAGAAUGACACUUCUUUUUUUUUCGGUUUAUAAGACCCAUCUUAAAAUUAUUUGUUUUUCUUGUUUCAUUAGUCUCGUUUUGUCGGAGCGACGAUCCUUGGGUAGUCCCAAGACGACGAGCUGGACGGGGCACGUGCCUAGGCCGGCUGCCUCGGCUCGCGCUUGUGCCCGGCUGUUCGAAAUCAACUCUGGUGUCACAUCUAACCUAACGCGAAAGAAAAGGCCAUCCCUUUGUCACUAUUGCUGAUAAUUUGUGUAUUGUUCAUCCGUCAUACAUCGUCAUUCAUAGUACCCUUUGUCCUGUGGGUGUCAACUGUUAAAAGACCCUGGAGGGCCUCUUGCCUCGAAGAGGCUCACGGACGCUUCAUUUUCUUCCACGUAGUGUAACACCCCAAAUUUUUUGACACAAUUUUAUUUAUUGAAUUUGGCCAGGAUUAUUCUGAAAUUUUUUAUUUCUGAGUUUUCUUCUGAUUUCAGAGCUUUUCCUAUUCUUACUUUUAUGAAAAACUCUAUCUAUGAGCUAGAGCUUCUUAAAAAAUUACUUGUGGCUUGGGUGUUGACUAAAUAUUUUUCUAUUGCAGAGAAGGCUCUUUCUAUAAAUAUUAUCUUCCAAUUCUAUUUAUUCAAAACUGUUUUUUUAUUUCCUAAGGGUCCAGUUUUAAACUGCAACCACCUGUUAACUUCUUCUAAAAAUUCCACAAUAAAUUUUACAAUUACCUACUAUACUUCUGGAUCAAUUUUAUAUAAUUAUAUAGCCAAGUGUUUUGAAAAGUUUAAGUAAAUUAAUUGAUUUUUCUUUCUGGUCCAAUUGUAGAUUUGUACUACAACCUAUUAUUAAAAGCCUCCAAAAAUCCUAUCAAAAUUUGUAGUGGUCAAGGGAUUCAUAUAAAUGAGUUUCAUGCAAAAAUAUAUAUUGGUAUUUUGAAAAAUUUGAGCACCACUUCUUGUUUUAUGUUCUGGACCAGAUUGGCAUUUUGUACUGCAUCCGCACUAUUUUCUUUCCCAAUGACCUUGAAUUUUUUUAUACUUAUAGUACACCAUAUAAAACCCUUAAGUAUCAAAUUUCAGCCCCAUUGGAGUUGUUUUGACCCCUGUUGCAUUAUCAUCUUGUUUUUGUUCAGAAAUGGACUUUUGCUAUAAUUGCAUUAUGAAGUUGUUUGGUUGCUAAAUCUAACCAUACCACAUUUUUUUGCAUCCAAGGAGACUCCUAUAUGGUAAUUCUUGUGGCUAGCAAGUGCUCCUAGAUGCCAUUGGCAUUUUGUCAAACACCUCGUGUCCCUCACCAGAAUUGGCAUGAUGUUUUGUUUGUGUUAGAAAGCUGCUCCAUGGACCAAACCAGCAUGUCUAGUAGAUCCCUAGUAAGGCCCUUAGUCAUUCCGGAGAAUUCCACCUCCAGCCUAAGACCCUAGAUAGCCGUGGCAUUUCAUCGAGCAUCUGGCAGGCAUGCCAGAGCUCGCGCAUUGCAGCCAGUAGGCCCGAGCCACCGCGUCCCAGUCCUGUCGCCCCCUUACUGCCCGAAGAGGCCUUAGCGCGUGUGCUAUCUCGCACGAGCUCCCCGUGCGCUCCUGUUGCCCCUGUUGCCCCUACCGCCCCUCGAUCCUCGCAACCGCGCGGGCGUCGUUUAGAUGCAGUAGCCGUGCAGCGAUGCAGCGCCGCCCAAGCCUCACUCGAGCGCCACCUGUACCUAGGACCACCCUCUGCGACGAGCCACUGCUUCCCCGCCCUGUGGCUGCAUCGAGUCACCCCUGUGCCCUCGCCAAUAGCUGUCCCCGAUGAUCUCAUCCAUCUCCGUCGCGGAACCGACACUCCAGGGCUAUUUACGGAGCACCAAUGGAUGCAACUCGACCCAAGCGCCCCCUCCAAGCCUUAGCCAGCCCCACUAGCUCAUAUUUUGGGCCGAGACCCCUUUGUCCCCAACUCCGCCUCGGUUUGAUUCGGUCUGGUUAGAGCACCUCCGUCCCACCUAAGCCCGCCGCUCGAACCCCCUGGACACAGCGGAGCUGCCCCAACCCUCGCUUUGCACCUAGGGCCCCUCCUGGCAAGCACCUUGUCGGACCCGAAGCUCCUCCGCCGUGGAGGAAGUGCUCCUCGCUCUCGACCUCCGUCGCGGCUCCCAGUCCCAAAAAUGGGUGCGCGAGGACCUCUCGAGUAGAUGCAUAGCCGGGGCGAGUCGAACGGCGCACGGAGUCGCCGACAAUCGUCGCCGGAGCCAUCCCCUGCCUCUGUCAGUGAACGCGGGAGGAGAGGGACGAAACUGACAGAUGGGCCCAUCUGUCAGUGAGUGGCCUAGCCACCGCAACCGCGCCAGGGAAAGCGUCUUCUCCUUGCGCUAGCGCAUUUUCUCCCGAAACGUUUUCUUCUAUUUGUUUUAAAAAAAACAGAUUUUUGACCAAACUUUGACUGGCUAUAACUUUUGAUAGAAAACUCCAAAUGAGUUGAUUCUUUUUCUCACCCCUUUCAAAUUAUGUCUAGUUUAUUUUAGUAUUUAUUUGAAAAUUUUCUAAGACAACUUUGUGUGCUGUUUUUAUAUUGUGUGUUAAUUAGCAUAUAUUUUUAAAUAGGCUUUGAAGAGAGGAGUCAAAACUUGCAAAAGUUUUGUGGUGAACCCUACCUCUCUACACUUUGAAGGCAAGCAUCCUGAACCUACAUUUAUCUUGGUUAUGAGUGUUUUGCUUGGUGAAAAUAACAUAGAGUUAUGUUAUAUAUGUGGUGUUAUUUCAUGUGACNUUGGUGAAAAUAACAUAGAGUUAUGUUAUAUAUGUGGUGUUAUUUCAUGUGACAAUCAUGCAUGUGGUUCAUAAUUUAUGAGCAAGGAUUGUUGCAUUAUGGUGCAUGGACGAUGGUCACCCUUUCCUACCCUAGAUGCCUACCAGAUGGGAUUCGGUGAGAGUCGGUGUCUUGUGGAGACACGACCGUGGAAUUGACACCUCGUGGACGAGAGUGGUCAGCAAGGCAUGUUAGGCGGGUAGUGACUCUGUCUGCAUAUGGUUUGAGCUAAUCAUGCAGGUAAUACUUAAACCUCCUGAGUCGACCAUAGAUCGAGUCUUGUCAGUAUGUCUCCUCAUUUGCGUGCUACCAUAGCUUCCUGGAUAAUGUAUUCGGUAUAGUCAGUUGCAGACCUAUUAUCAGUCACACACCAGUAGAGGGGCUGGGAUGAAGGUAUCCACGGCUGUGGUCUAAAUCCAGUCAUACGGUCAGGGGGCAUGGGUGUUUCCGAUGUGGGACCGGAAGGGAGGGCACUCCCCGUGAGCGCGCGAUAUAAUUAUUUUUGAUCCCAUGCUCGUCGAGGUCGGAGCCUCCCGGUCUUAUGGUUUUGCCUUGGCAGCGUAGUUCGGGUGAAGCCGGGCUCCACUGAGGCUAAAAAUGGGUGUGUGCUAGUUCUGAGUGUCCGCUUCUAAAUUGCCGUACGUGAAAUUAGUCAUGAUGACUAUCGAAAACCGUGAGCCAUGGGUAAAGAGUACACCCUCUGCAGAGUCAAAACUAUUCGAGUAGCCGUGUCCAUGGUUAAGGACGUUGGUUGACUAGUCAAGUGUCAGUCUAAGUGUCGGUCUUCGGAGGUAGUUAAAGGAGUAUGGAACAAAUCGGGAAAUAUGGUGGAUGAUUAUAAACAUUAUUUUCUGUGGACUAACCCUUAUGAUUUUUAUUGUUGAAUAUCCCUGGGACGGUUCUACCUCCUGGAUAUUCUUUAUUAUUUCAUAUAAGCCCUUUAUGUGGUGUCGCUGAGACGCCCGACCGUGGCAUAUUUAUUAUUUCAUAUAAGCCUUUAUGUGGUGUCGUUGAGACGUCCGACUGUGGCAUGUUUAUUAUUUCAUAUAAGCCCUUUAUGUGGUGUCGCUGAGACGCCCGACUUUGGUAUGUUCAUUAUUUCAUAUAAGCCCUUUAUGUGGUGUCAAUGAGAAGCCCGACUGUGGCAUGUUUAUUAUUUUAUAUAAGCCCUUUAUGUGGUGUCGCUGAGACGCCCGACUGUGGCAUGUUUUAUAUUGCAACUGUUAUUAUUACCCUUAUUGAUUGCUUAAUGAAUUUCAGUAUGAAUUAUGGUUUCACUACUAAUACUUGAGUAGUAUUUCUGGGUUGACAAAAUAUUGUGGCUUUGUUAUAAGUGUAUAAUUAAUAACUAUAUGUUUGUUUCUUGAUGUUUGCGAGUACAUUCAAAGUACUCACUCGCUUGUCCCUGGCUAUUGUCUUGGCCAGAUUGCAAGCUUGGAGAGGAUAUGCUUGACGAUAAGCUUGGAGCAUAGGCUUCGAGGAGAGCAGUCGCGCAAGAUAGGAAUUAACCCGGUCAGCUGUUCCUGUGGGAAAUGGAAUCCGAGAGAAGUUGGAGAUUCCUGAAAUGCUUCCGCCAUCAACAACUAGAAACCCUUUUUGAUGUACUCAUUAGACCACCUUGGUCUUGUACCUUGAUACGUCUCCGUCGUAUCUACUUUUCCGAACUCUUUUGCCCUUGUUUUGGACUCUAAUUUGCAUGAUUUGAAUGGAACUAACCCGGACUAACGCUGUUUUCACCAGAAUUGCCA